rnacentral:piRNA from 1 species
UGUGUUGGAGACACUUCUGAAGGGC